AGUCGAGGGGUAUAGUUCUUCGGAACUAGAGACCGGCGCACGGGUGCGUAACGCGUAUGCAAUCUACCUUUUACAGAGGGAUAGCCCAGAGAAAUUUGGAUUAAUACCUCAUAGUAUGCAGAGUUGGCAUCAACACUGCAUUAAAGUCACAACGGUAAAAGAUGAGCAUGCGUCCCAUUAGCUAGUUGGUAAGGUAACGGCUUACCAAGGCUACGAUGGGUAGGGGUCCUGAGAGGGAGAUCCCCCACACUGGUACUGAGACACGGACCAGACUCCUACGGGAGGCAGCAGUGAGGAAUAUUGGACAAUGGGCGCAAGCCUGAUCCAGCCAUGCCGCGUGCAGGAUGACGGUCCUAUGGAUUGUAAACUGCUUUUAUACGAGAAGAAACACUCCAACGUGUUGGAGCUUGACGGUAUCGUAAGAAUAAGGAUCGGCUAACUCCGUGCCAGCAGCCGCGGUAAUACGGAGGAUCCAAGCGUUAUCCGGAAUCAUUGGGUUUAAAGGGUCCGUAGGCGGUUUAAUAAGUCAGUGGUGAAAGCCCAUCGCUCAACGGUGGAACGGCCAUUGAUACUGUUAAACUUGAAUUAUUAGGAAGUAACUAGAAUAUGUAGUGUAGCGGUGAAAUGCUUAGAGAUUACAUGGAAUACCAAUUGCGAAGGCAGGUUACUACUAAUGGAUUGACGCUGAUGGACGAAAGCGUGGGUAGCGAACAGGAUUAGAUACCCUGGUAGUCCACGCCGUAAACGAUGGAUACUAGCUGUUGGAAAGCAUUUCAGUGGCUAAGCGAAAGUGAUAAGUAUCCCACCUGGGGAGUACGUUUCGCAGAAUGAAACUCAA
rnacentral:rRNA from 1 species